UACGUAGGGUGCGAGCGUUGUCCGGAAUUACUGGGCGUAAAGAGCUCGUAGGUGGUUUGUCGCGUUGUUCGUGAAAACUCACAACUCAAUUGUGGGCGUGCGGGCGAUACGGGCAGACUGGAGUACUGCAGGGGAGACUGGAAUUCCUGGUGUAGCGGUGGAAUGCGCAGAUAUCAAGGAGGAACACCGGUGGCGAAGGCGGG
rnacentral:rRNA from 1 species